GCGGCGGCGGAACCAGGCCGGCGAUGGAGGAGCGGCCACACGGGACGACGACAUCGGCGGCGGCGCUCUGGGGGCACGCGCACCUCCCGCCGCUGGCCCGCGCGCGCGGGCCAAGGACUCGGUAGAGUACAUCCUGCGGGCACUCUGGCGCACCCCAGCCUCGACGCCGCCGACCGCGCCGUCGUCCGUGACAUCCUCCAGCUCCCCUCCGAGAUACCGAAGCUUUUCCCUCAGGAGGUGCCGCCCCAGCUGUAAAGGUUGCUCACUCUGCUUCUGCACAAGUUUCAGCCGAAAUGGCGAGAGGACGCCUCAAAGAUUCAGGUAACGUAGAGCAACGAGAGGACGCCUUUAUUUAUUCAUUUUUCAUCUCAAAAUUAUGCAGUUGAUCCAACGGUAGUUAUCACAAAUUAUUCCAAAAGUUUCUGUAGUCGUUUAGUUUCACAAGUUACAAGAGCCUCAAGCUGUUCAGUACUGCGGUCAAUAGUUAGCCUGUUCUUAGCUUAAUCUUUUUGUCGGUGUCUCUGUAGUGAUGCCGACAGAAAAUCUGCGCCUCAGUUUAGCGCGAUGCGUUAUUUUGUAGGCACCCAUGCGAAAUUCAGACACAGCGAAAAGCCAUCUUGAGUACAAAAUCAAGAAGCGCCAGAGCAACCAGCGACAACGCAGGACAUCGUCAGCAAAGGUCUUGUCUGAAUCAGGAGAGAAAGACGCGAAGCACCAAUUAGCUAAGGAUUCUUUAGACAAAAUGCUCAAGGACAUAUACACAAUCAGGGAGGGACAUGGAGAAGCAGCAAAAAGCACUUAGGAAAGGAUGAUUUUGCUCCUCUGUUUUCUAGCUCUCAGGACAUUUUUCAUCAGCAAAGCACUUCAGAAAUGAUGCCAAAGUUGCAUUUCUUACAUGAAGCGGAGCUCUCUAAACAAGUGGAAGCACACCAAAGUAUGGUCUCACAUUCCAAACUAUGGUGUGUGUGCAUGACGUGUUCAUGCAAAACGUCACCUUGGAUUCUCUCCUUCAAGAUAAUCUACUCCUGUGCUUUGAUGCAGCAAUGCAUCCAUUUUGUAACUUUUAACCUCAUGUCGCGUUCGUUUUUGUUUUAUUUCAAUGCAUCUUCAUUUUCUCAUCUUGCUGUUGCUAAUUUCCUAAUUUGUAUUUGUUUUAUUUCAUUGUAUGCACCACGAAUUGCUCAUCUUGCUGUCGAGACAAACCUUCAAGCUACAACGCAAGGAAGAAAAAAGAGGUGCAUUGUAUUUUCUAUUGUUUCUAGCAUUUUUCCUUUUUAUCACUGCAGAUCAUAUCCUGUUUAGGACAGGUUGAGAGGUAACAUCCCUACUCACUCGUCAAAUAAAGAGAAGUAGAACUCUUUAUUCUUGAUGUAAUACAUGCCUGUAUUCCAAUAAGUAUUUGGGAUGGGAUCACACAGUUCUGUAGUUACUGAAGUCCAAUUAUUCAUGUGUACUUUAUGGGACGAAAUAACUCACCUUGGUGUUGUUCUUCCUACACUCCUGGACAUUUUACAGCCGUCCUUUCAAAAGCCUCUACUGAUGUGAAUUCAGAAAAGCAUUUUUUUUGUUUCCUCACAUCCUAUAUGUCUGCUGACUUACUGAGGUACUUUCAGAUUGGUGCUGACCUAUGACUACGAUCAACCGAGAGCUUUUGCCGAGGUACUAUAAUUAACAGACUAGUUAUAGUUUGGGCUUUUGUUUGAAUAGGUAAUAGGAAAUUAUUUGAAUGUUUCUAUAUUCUUGGUUAAUCGUCAUAUACUUGAAUCGCAUAUCAUUGUGCUUUUGUUUGAUGCUGAUGUGUUUGCUUGACUGAAAGUUUUGAAGCUAUGUGAUGAGGGCAAUACUGAGCAGCAAAAAGAUAUACAUAAUUGUAACAGGACAGGUGUGUUGUUGAUGACAACUUUUUUGAUGAUGCUGUUGAUGAUAGUACAAACUCUUUAGUGGAGGGCACCAUCAAAGAACUUUACGAAGCAAGUAUCAAUGAAGGGGAUGAGGCUGAUGGUGCUACUACUAUUGCUGCACUUCACGACUUUACGAUACAAGCUCAUUGGAUGAGUACACCAACAUAAGAUCAGCUAGGAUGUAGUGAGGAAGCAAAACACGCGAUGCUUUUAUGGCCAUGCUCAUGAGCUCCAAACAGCAAAGCAACAAGUAAAAAUGGAUUUGGUGAGCUUGAAGAUGCUGUUAUGGCCAGGCUGCAAGUCCUGAAAAGAUGCGAACCUAACAAUAGCAACGUCGUGAAUGGGGGACAAGAGGUUUUCCAUUCCAAUGAUUGGGUGUGUCGCUUUGAAAGAAAACAACCUGACCGCGGCGCGCGUGAGGAGCUAAUUCAGAAGACCGAUUUGCCUGAUGCUGUUGAAUACUGAUUUGCCUGGUGAUGCUGGGUGCAGAGCCUUAUCUGAUGAAGUGGAUAGCAGAACCGCAAGGCAGUACGUCAGUACACAUUACUUGAGGAGUCUCAGGAAACCUGCAAAUGUGAAUUUGCAUGAGAAGCAGCUAAGCUUAAGCCACUCACCGUCAGAAUGGGAGCAUGUACUGAAGGAGGACCUUUUCCUCCCAGGAAACCCAUUGAAGUGAAAGGCAUAUGCUCUCCCCUUGGUUUAGUUCGAAAAUCUUGUUGUGAUGCACACAUAUAGGUAUGUUCUUAACUUAAAUGUAUGCAGAUUGCGACAUAAGCAGCAGGAUCAAGCGUCGUAGUAGCUAGCUGGUGCCUAAAAUAAUGUCAGCUCUGUGUAAUAUAUGUUGCCUGCGGUAUCUGGUUGUAUGCCUGAAAGGAUCAUGCACAGUACCCGAACAUUUGUGCCAUCUUAACAUGUGAUGUGAUCUUUAAUGCCUGUAUA